GAUGAACGCUGGCGGCGUGCCUAAUACAUGCAAGUCGAGCGAACAGACGAGGAGCUUGCUCCUCUGACGUUAGCGGCGGACGGGUGAGUAACACGUGGAUAACCUACCUAUAAGACUGGGAUAACUUCGGGAAACCGGAGCUAAUACCGGAUAAUAUAUUGAACCGCAUGGUUCAAUAGUGAAAGACGGUUUUGCUGUCACUUAUAGAUGGAUCCGCGCCGCAUUAGCUAGUUGGUAAGGUAACGGCUUACCAAGGCAAUGAUGCGUAGCCGAGCUGAGAGGGUGAUCGGCCACACUGGAACUGAGACACGGCACAGAGUCCGACGGGAGGCAGCAGUAGGGAAUCGUCCGAAAUGGGCGAAAGCCUGACGGAGGAACGGCGCGUGAGUGAUGAAGGUCCUCGGGUCGUAAAACGCUGUUAUUAGGGAAGAACAAAUGUGUAAGUAACUAUGCACGUCUUGACGGUACCUAAACAGAAAGCCACGGCUAACUACGU
rnacentral:rRNA from 1 species